rnacentral:rRNA from 1 species
AUGGUUGGUUUGCUUUUGGAGUGGACACCUCGUUCCGGUCAGAGGAGUCUGAAUGCGUCUGCUAUCCUGGAAAGCAUCCAAAGAGUAAGAACUUCUCACUGUUCGGAGUCCAUAUCCAAGAAAGCUUGUCGCCGGUCCACAUUCGAGAUUGCACGGCAGUUCAUACGUUUGGAGGAAAAGGACCCUGCAGAACGUUUGUUCCAUCCUGUUUCCUGGCAACGAGAUGGACUUCUUCAGACGCCACCUCCUGUUCUUGAAGAUAUUGCACAACGCUACGAGGAAAAACUCAAAACUUAUUCAACACAAUUGUUGUGUUAUUACAACACAGGGUUAGGAUCCUCUGCAGCAGUGUACUCCCUCCGUAAACAAAUAUAA